rnacentral:rRNA from 1 species
UACCAGCACCCCGAGUGGUCAGGACGUUUUAUUGGGCCUAAAGCAUCCGUAGCCGGUUCUACAAGUCUUCCGUUAAAUCCACCUGCUUAACAGAUGGGCUGCGGAAGAUACUAUGGAGCUAGGAGGCGGGAGAGGCAAGCGGUACUCGAUGGGUAGGGGUAAAAUCCGUUGAUCCAUUGAAGACCACCAGUGGCGAAGGCGGCUUGCCAGAACGCGCUCGACGGUGAGGGAUGAAAGCUGGGGGAGCAAACCGG